rnacentral:rRNA from 1 species
UAGGGAAUCUUCCGCAAUGGACGCAAGUCUGACGGAGCAACGCCGCGUGAGUGAAGAAGGAUUUCGGUUCGUAAAACUCUGUUGUUAGAGAAGAACAGCGCAUAGAGUAACUGUUAUGCGUGUGACGGUAUCUAACCAGAAAGCCACGGCUAACUACGUGCCAGCAGCCGCGGUAAUACGUAGGUGGCAAGCGUUGUCCGGAUUUAUUGGGCGUAAAGCGAGCGCAGGCGGUCAAUUAAGUCUGAUGGGAAAGCCCCCGGCUCAACCGGGGAGGGUCAUUGGAAACUGGUUGACUUGAGUGCAGAAGAGGAGAGUGGAAUUCCAUGUGUAGCGGUGAAAUGCGUAGAUAUAUGGAGGAACACCAGUGGCGAAGGCGACUCUCUGGUCUGUAACUGACGCGGAGGCUCGAAAGCGUGGGUAGCAAACAGG